UACGUAGGUGGCAAGCGUUGUCCGGAUUUACUGGGCGUAAAGCGCGCGCCGGCGGAUCGGUCCGUCUGGGGUGAACUCUCACGGCUUAACUGUGAGAGGUCCCUGGAUACUGCCGGUCUUGAGGGGCUCAGAGGAGAGUGGAAUUCCGGGUGUAGUGGUGGAAUGCGUAGAUAUCCGGAGGAACACCAGUGGCGAAAGCGACUCUCUGGGGGCAACCUGACGCUGAGGCGCGAAAGCGUGGGGAGCGAACCGG
rnacentral:rRNA from 1 species